rnacentral:lncRNA from 1 species
UAUUCCAGAAGCUUGUUUUUUUUUUUAAAUGAAGAAAUGGUAAAGAAGGAAGCAAGAAGAGUCAGUCUGAGGCUCCUCACUGUGACGGACUGAGGAGCUUUAUUUACUCCCUGCGGAUAGUGGCCUGCCACCAGAGAGGCCACAGGCCGGAGUGAUGGAGCUGACUCAUAGGGUAAGGAGAAAGUGGCCUGGAUCGUUGACAGAGGUGAUGCAUUUUCUAUCGGUAGUAAAGAAAAUAUGAAAUAGGUACCUCUGUGCACUGUGGAUUUAUGUAAAUGGCUUUUUACCAGGUAAUAUAGCCUAAAGCUCUGUCAAGUCUCUAACGCUUGGAAUUUUUGGCAAAGAAAUGAAAGAACCUGUAAGUUAUCAUUAUUUUAUUUUAUUUUUUUCAAUACCUUCCAGGGUGUGGUCUUUUUGUUUGGUAAUUUUAAACUACAUUCUUGAAAAAGUUUCUCAAGAUUCAAGCAAUUCCUAGGACUGUAUGUACACUUGGGGAACAUUUCUUAAAAUACAUAACGAAUUCAAAUUAAUAAGAAAAAGACAACCCAGAAGAAAAAUGGACACGUGAAUUAAUCAGAAACUCAAGAGGUGGCGUAUAUUUGAGCAUGGAUCUAAAUGAGGUGAAGGAUUGAGAUGGCUGCUUGGGGAAGAACUUUCCAGGCAU